rnacentral:rRNA from 1 species
CAGUAGCCGCGGUAAUACGUAGGGUGCGAGCGUUAAUCGGAAUUACUGGGCGUAAAGCGUGCGCAGGCGGUUGUGUAAGACAGGUGUGAAAUCCCCGGGCUCAACCUGGGAAUGGCGCUUGUGACUGCAAAGCUAGAGUGCGGCAGAGGGGGAUGGAAUUCCGCGUGUAGCAGUGAAAUGCGUAGAUAUGCGGAGGAACACCGAUGGCGAAGGCAAUCCCCUGGGCCUGCACUGACGCUCAUGCACGAAAGCGUGGGGAGCAAACAGGAUUAGAUACCCCAGUAGUCCCUGUCUCUUAUAC